rnacentral:lncRNA from 1 species
UUUAAAGUUAAAGUUUAUUUGUAUUCUUCAUAGGAAUAUCAAUAAAAGACCUCAAACGUAUCUAUAUCUGUACAUGUACAAGAACUGUCAAAAAUUAUUCACAGAACAAAAAUAAAUCUUCUUUUAGAACAAACCCAGGUAAUGAAAUGCUGAUAUGGAUCUCACAUAUGGAACAAUCUAAGUGCUACUAGCACAAAAAUAUGGCUUUAAAAAUAAAAUAAAAUCUUGGGUUUUGUUUCUCUAACGUGUAUUUCUUUCUUGAAUAUGCUGCUGUCUUGAGUUAAUGUAAUGAGGAAAUGUCUAAGCACCAGUCAAAAU